UAGGGAAUCUUCGGCAAUGGACGAAAGUCUGACCGAGCAACGCCGCGUGAGUGAAGAAGGUUCUCGGAUCGUAAAACUCUGUUGUUAGAGAAGAACAAGGACGUUAGUAACUGAACGUCCCCUGACGGUAUCUAACCAGAAAGCCACGGCUAACUACGUGCCAGCAGCCGCGGUAAUACGUAGGUGGCAAGCGUUGUCCGGAUUUAUUGGGCGUAAAGCGAGCGCAGGCGGUUUCUUAAGUCUGAUGUGAAAGCCCCCGGCUCAACCGGGGAGGGUCAUUGGAAACUGGGGGACUUGAGUGCAGAAGAGGAGAGUGGAAUUCCAUGUGUAGCGGUGAAAUGCGUAGAUAUAUGGAGGAACACCAGUGGCGAAGGCGGCUCUCUGGUCUGUAACUGACGCUGAGGCUCGAAAGCGUGGGGAGCAAACAGG
rnacentral:rRNA from 1 species